rnacentral:rRNA from 1 species
GAAGAACGCGGGCGGCGUGCCUAAUACAUGCAAGUUGAGCGCUGAAGGUUGGUACUUGUACCGACUGGAUGAGCAGCGAAUGGGUGAGUAACGCGUGGGGAAUCUGCCUUUGAGCGGGGGACAACAUUUGGAAACGAAUGCUAAUACCGCAUAAAAACUUUAAACACAAGUUUUAAGUUUGAAGGAUGCAAUUGCAUCACUCAAAGAUGAUCCCGCGUUGUAUUAGCUAGUUGGUGAGGUAAAGGCUCACCAAGGCGAUGAUACAUAGCCGACCUGAGAGGGUGAUCGGCCACAUUGGGACUGAGACACGGCCCAAACUCCUACGGGAGGCAGCAGUAGGGAAUCUUCGGCAAUGGACGAAAGUCUGACCGAGCAACGCCGCGUGAGUGAAGAAGGGUGUCGGAUCGUAAAACUCUGUUGGUAGAGAAGAACGUUGGUGAGAGUGGAAAGCUCAUCAAGUGACGGUAACUACCCAGAAAGGGACGGCUAACUACGUG